rnacentral:sRNA from 1 species
UAGUGUGAGAGGUGCGGCGGGGGAGCCCUCCAGAAUACACAUCAUAUAGCCCCUGAGGUGGCAUGGUGAUGUCUCCAUGAGGGAACCCCUUCCCACUCAUCCUGUCACGUAUAUCAUAGUGUUCUUGACUGGGCCAUUCAUCUAAGAUGGGAUUUACCCUGUGAAACAGGGAGAAGACUUAUGGACCCCAAGCAUCAUUUCGAGUUAUAGUUGAGUUUUUAAAAGACAUACAUGCAAAGUUCCUUUGCUUUGGACCCUCUGCAUUAUUAAAGCUGCUGUAUUGCUAACCCAGAACUGCUCCAGUGUCUUGACUGAUCAUCAUGGCUUCAGUUUGGAAGAGACUGCAGCGUGUGGGAAAACAUGCAUCCAAGUUCCAGUUUGUGGCCUCCUACCAGGAGCUCAUGGUUGAGUGUACGAAGAAAUGGCAACCAGAUAAACUGGUGGUAGUUUGGACCAGAAGAAGCCGAAGGAAGUCUUCUAAGGCACAUAGCUGGCAACCUGGAAUAAAAAAUCCCUAUCGUGGUGUUGUUGUGUGGCCUGUUCCUGAAAACAUUGAAAUCACUGUAACACUUUUUAAGGAUCCUCAUGCGGAAGAAUUUGAAGACAAAGAGUGGACAUUUGUCAUAGAAAAUGUAAGCUAAUGGCAAAUUCCUUCACCUUUCACAUUUUCAACUUUAUAUAUGCAUUAUUAAGGUACAUUGGCAUUUUGGUGGUAGGAAAAAUGUUGCCUUAAGAAAAUUAAAUAGUGAUUUGUAGCUUUUAGAAUGUUUUUAAUGAAAUGAUAGCCAGUAACAAAAUUAUUUGUAAGAAAUGCUUUUAUUAACACUGUAAGUCUUCAAUACUAAAUUAUAUGUAUGUUUGUAUGUAUGCGUGUGUAUAUGUGUAUUAUAUAUAUAAAAAUAUGUAUAUAUAUUCUGUUUGGGGUUUAAGGGCAAGCCCAUGUCUUACUCAUCUUUUUAUCUGUCAGCAUCUAGCAUAGUGCUUAUCACAUAGCAGAUACUCAUCUAAACGUGUUGGAUGGAACCAUGAAUGACCUUUGAAAUCUUUAAAAAUAAAGUAUGUGGGCCGGGUGUGGUGGCUCAUGCCUGUAUCCCAGCACUUUGGGAGGCUGAGGUAGGCAGAUCACCUGAGAUCAGGAGUUUGCGACCGGCCUGGCCAAAGUGGUGAAACCCUGUCUCUACUAAAAAUACAGAAAAUAGCUGGGCGUCAUGGCGGGCAUCUGUAGUCUCAGCUACUUGGGAGGCUGAGGCAGGAGAAUCGCUGGAACCCGGGAGGCAGAGGUUGCAGUGAGCCGAGAUUGUGCCAUUUCACUCCAGCCUGGGUGACAAGAGUGAAACUCCAUCAAGAAAGAAAGAGAGCAAGAGAGAGAAA